CUAGCAUUCAAUAAGCGGAGGAAAAGAAACCAACAGGGAAUUGCCUCAGUAACGGCGAGUGAAGCGGCAACAGCUCAAAUUUGAAAUCUGGCCCCUUGCGGGGUCCGAGUUGUGAUUUGGAGAGGAUGCUUCGGGUACGGCUCCGGUUCAAGUUCCUUGGAACAGGACGUCCUAGAGGGUGAGAAUCCCGUAUGCCACCGGCCUCCACGCCCGUGUGAAGCUCCUUCGACGAGUCGAGUUGUUUGGGAAUGCAGCUCAAAAUGGGUGGUAAAUUUCAUCUAAAGCUAAAUACCGGCCAGAGACCGAUAGCGCACAAGUAGAGUGAUCGAAAGAUGAAAAGCACUUUGGAAAGAGAGUUAAAAAGUACGUGAAAUUGUUGAAAGGGAAGCGCUUGCGACCAGACUUGCCCGCGGGCGAUCAGCCGGUAUUCUUACCGGUGCACUCGCCCGUGGUCAGGCCAGCAUCGGUUUGGGCGGCUGGAUAAAGGUCCCCGGAACGUAGUUCCCCUCGGGGAGUGUUAUAGCCGGGGACGCAAUGCAGCCCGCCCGGACCGAGGACCGCGCUUCGGCUAGGAUGCUGGCGUAAUGGUUGUAAGCGACCCGUCUUGAAACACGGACCAAGGAGUCUAACAUCUAUGCGAGUGUUUGGGUGUCAAACCCAUGCGCGUAAUGAAAGUGAACGGAGGUGGGAACCCUCAAGGGUGCACCAUCGACCGAUCCUGAUGUCUUCGGAUGGAUUUGAGUAAGAGCAUAGCUGUUGGGACCCGAAAGAUGGUGAACUAUGCCUGAAUAGGGUGAAGCCAGAGGAAACUCUGGUGGAGGCUCGCAGCGGUUCUGACGUGCAAAUCGAUCGUCAAAUUUGGGUAUAGGGGCGAAAAGACUAAUCGAACCAUCUAGUAGCUGGUUCUGCAGAUUCCCCC
rnacentral:rRNA from 1 species